rnacentral:lncRNA from 1 species
AUGCUAAUUUGUGUGCAGGAAAUUGCAUCAUCUGCUAUAUGGUUCUUGCUUUUGAAGCCAUGUUACUGCCUUUGGAGUGUACCUGUUUCCUUCUCUUGCUUGCUGCAUCAUAACAUUAUAAUAGCGAAAGGAAAUGAUGGCUUUUUAUAUUUGAUGGUAAAAUUUUCUUUUCUGAGUUUGUGUUACCUAUUAAUCCUAUUAUACAUCUUCCAAGAAAUUAGUUUUAUUAAAUGAUUCACUUUACCUACUAAUUUUUUUUCUGAAUAAGGCUCUGUUGAGCGAUAUGUCUAACUUAGGGUAAGCCUACAUAGAAUGUUUCAUGAAGUCGACCUCUUUUUGGUUAAUUCAAGUGUCGCCAGUUGUUUUCUUUGGACAUGCAAGUGUCCAUCAGUAGUCAGAAGGUCAAACAUGGAAUAAUUAUUUCAGAUUCUAUAUUCUAUAUAGCUUCAUGGUUUCACUUGCAGUCCUGUAUGUGUAGUGUAGGUCAUUAUGUAUAGAUAUCGGUGCAAAUGUGAAAUUCUUUUAUCUGUGUACAACUUUAUGGAUAAAAGAAAUGAAACAUGACACCGAAGAAAUUGGUUGAGGAGACGUUCUUGGUCAUUAUUUAUAGAUUGUUCGUAGGUACAGUUUAUUAUAGUAUUAUACUAAUUCUAGCGAAUAGAGGACUGAAAGUUAACAUAGGAAAGCAUAUGCUUGAACUUGAAGUCUAUUCAUUUUGGCGAUUGUGGUACCCCUAACUUGAUAAGAUUUGUAAUCAUCAAAGCAAUCAAUACAGAAUCCGCAAUCCCUGACCCUCUCCUAUGAAAUUCCUUACACUACAACAAUCAAGUUCACAACAGCCAUAAUUGUUUUAUCCCUUAUGUGCCUUUACAGAAUUAUAUUAGAUUAAUUGGAAAUGAACAGGCAAAGAGCACUUGCCUUAGAAGUUAAUUCCAUAUUUAUCGAAACUCCUUUGCUGAUAGAGACAGUUGAUGUUAGGUCACUAGAUGCCGUAGAACAUAAUCAUCUGAAUUAUUGAAAUACAAAAGCACUUAGUUUCUACUCUCAUGGUUUGUUUCAGGUGAACAAAUCAGAAAAAGAUGCACCUGCCGGUGAGACCGUGAGACGGAAGUUGAGCCAACUGUUUCCGCAGAGGAUGUUGCUUUGGGAGCAACCAACUUUGCAUCUAUUGGGAGGAUAGAAAGAAGGAAUCUUAGUAGAACAUAUUUCCUAAUCCCAAUCGUUGUCUUAUUAGUUUCUGCUAUUGCAGUAUAUCUGUUUCAUCCAGACAGGUACUAGCUUAUUGUUAGUAGUAAGAGUUCCUCCUUAUCACUUUGAUUUUGUUAAUAAAUCAUUAUUAUAUACAUCCUUCUUUCCUUUGUUUAUUUGUGAGAAAAAAAAUAUUUCAUACUUUUGACCGGUAUCUGAUCUCGAGCCGUUCCAUUGUUCCAUUGCUCGCUAUUAAAGAAAUUCCCAUCUAUCAAAUUUU